CUCAAGAUGUGCUUUAGUCUUGGUUGGCUAAAUCAUUUAGUCAGUGAGCCUGCCACAUUUUUAUGGGGUCUACUCUGAUCCUUGAAGUCUUACUUCUUGGAAUAGUCGUGAAUCAUCACUCUUAUGUGUUAAGAACUCUGGUGAGACCUUGGAUCCUUAGCUAGAGCUAUGGCAUCUAUGUUGCCACAGUAUAGUGUUGUGUCAUCUCAUGAC
rnacentral:lncRNA from 1 species